CUACGGGCGGCAGCAGUGGGGAAUAUUGGACAAUGGGCGAAAGCCUGAUCCAGGCAUGCCGCGUGGGUGAAGAAGGCCUUCGGGUUGUAAAGCACUUUCAGUGGGGAAGAAAGCCUUGGGGCUAAUACCCUCGAGGAAGGACAUCACCCACAGAAGAAGCACCGGCUAACUCCGUGCCAGCAGCCGCGGUAAUACGGAGGGUGCGAGCGUUAAUCGGAAUUACUGGGCGUAAAGCGCGCGUAGGCGGUCUGAUAAGCCGGUUGUGAAAGCCCCGGGCUCAACCUGGGAACGGCAUCCGGAACUGUCAGGCUAGAGUGCAGGAGAGGAAGGUAGAAUUCCCGGUGUAGCGGUGAAAUGCGUAGAGAUCGGGAGGAAUACCAGUGGCGAAGGCGGCCUUCUGGACUGACACUGACGCUGAGGUGCGAAAGCGUGGGUAGCAAACAGGAUUAGAUACCCUUGUAGUC
rnacentral:rRNA from 1 species